rnacentral:rRNA from 1 species
UUGAACGCUGGCGGCAGGCCUCACACAUGCCAGUCGAACGGUAACAGGAAGCAGCUUGCUGCUUCGCUGACGAGUGGCGGACGGGUGAGUAAUGUCUGGGAAGCUGCCUGAUGGAGGGGGAUAACUACUGGAAACGGUAGCUAAUACCGCAUAAUGUCGCAAGACCAAAGAGGGGGACCUUCGGGCCUCUUGCCAUCGGAUGUGCCCAGAUGGGAUUAGCUUGUUGGUGGGGUAACGGCUCACCAAGGCGACGAUCCCCAGCUGGUCUGAGAGGAUGACCAGCCACACUGGGACUGAGACACGGUCCAGACUCCUACGGGAGGCAGCAGUGGGGAAUAUUGCACAAUGGGCGCAAGCCUGAUGCAGCCAUGCCGCGUGUAUGAAGAAGGCCUUCGGGUUGUAAAGUACUUUCAGCGGGGAGGAAGGGAGUAAAGUUAAUACCUUUGCUCAUUGACGUUACCCGCAGAAGAAGCACCGGCUAACUCCGUG